UGGAGGGCAAGUCUGGUGCCAGCAGCCGCGGUAAUUCCAGCUCCAAUAGCUUAUAUUAAAGUUGUUGCAGUUAAAAAGCUCGUAGUUGAAUUUCGGGAUUUGUCAGUUGGUCGGGCUUCACUGUCCGUAUUAACUUGAUGGAUUCUUACCUUCUGAAUAACCAGCAUGCUAUUACAGUUUUUCCAAGAUAAAAACUCUCAAUGUGGUGGUAAGUUAGUGCGUUGGGGAAGCAUAUCCAUUACCUUGAAAAAAUUAGAGUGCUUAAAGCGAGCUAGUGCUUGAAUAGAUUAGCAUGGAAUAAUAAAAUAGGACGGCAUGGUUCUAUUUUGUUGGUUUCUAGGAUCACCGUAAUGAUUAAUAGGGAUUAGUUGGGGGCAUUGGUAUUCAAUUGUCAGAGGUGAAAUUCUUGGAUUUAUUGAAGACUAACUUCUGCGAAAGCAUUUUCCAAGGAUUUUUUCAUUAAUCAAGAACGAAAGUUAGGGGAUCGAAGACGAUCAGAUACCGUCGUAGUCUUAACCAUAAACUAUGCCGACUAGGAAUCGGACGAUGUUAAUUUUAUAAUGACUCGUUCGGCACCUUACGGGAAAC
rnacentral:rRNA from 1 species